GUAACCAGUUCGCAGUUCAACAAGUCAAUACUUUAAAAGUUAUUUAAUAAAUUUGGGGAUUUCAGUUCAUAGGGCAAGAAAGGGAGGAUCGAAUAUUCGAUGCUUUCAAUCGGAAGGAAGGCAUCGAUCCAGAGAUUACUUUACAAACUAUCAACAGAGGGUUGCCGGAAAUCUAGUACCCAUGGCUUGUUACGCGGCGAUUGAAAAGGGCGGCGACGUGUUUUUCCCAACUCCGGCACGUUCAGUUCGUCGGUCUUUUCACUUGCUCAUGUUCGUGCUUAUAUUUACUUUGUUGCUAAAUAGCAACUGCGUUUCUUCAUACUCAUCAGGAUACUGGGAUUUUAGCAGCAGCAACUCCACUGUGAUGGAAAGAGGGAAGUUGGGUCCCGGAAAUCCCGGUGUAUGUUCCAGAAAGGCCAAACAUCUUCCAGUUUGUGAAUGUGGAUUCAAAAUGUUGGACUCUUGCUUCUUGAAUAAGAACAAGAUGCUUGAAAUAGAAAAGGGAGCAAAUGACUUUAACAUACCCAUAAUCAGAUCCAACCGAAAAUUAGUUGCCUCUACUGAUGGAGGUCUGCAUAAACCGUCUUGUUUAGUCUUCAAUUCUGCAUGGAAGGCCCGACAAGUAGAACACGAACCAAACAAAAAGCUCAAUUAUCCAUCACCUGCUGGUAUACAAAGACCAAAAAGUGAUGAGGAUAUCGCAUUCAUGAGUAUUCUUGAACUUGGCCAGCUUCUCAAGGAAAAUUUAAUCACAUCAGUGGAGCUGACUGGAAUUUUCUUGAAGAGACUGAAGAGGUAUGGUCCUGUUCUUGAAUCGGUCGUUACAAUUACUGAAGAAUUAGCAUACAAACAAGCAAAAGAGGCUGAUCAACUUCUUGCUGAAGGCAAAUAUUUGGGUCCUCUUCAUGGGAUUCCUUAUGGUCUGAAGGACAUCAUAGCAGUACCUAACUAUACCACAACAUGGGGUUCAACAUCUUUUAAAGACCAAGUUCUUGAUAUUGAAGCUUGGGUUUAUAAAAGGCUGAAAUCUGCCGGGGCAGUUCUUGUUGCAAAGUUAGUAACUGGUUCUUUAGCAUAUGAUGAUAUCUGGUUUGGUGGUAGAACAAGAAACCCGUGGAAUAUCGAGGAAUAUUCUACGGGAUCAUCAGCAGGUCCUGCUUCUUGCACCUCAGCAGGUUUGGUUCCAUUUGCAAUUGGUUCAGAAACUUGCGGCUCUAUUACCUAUCCAGCUUCCCGCUGUGGCGUGACGGCACUGCGGCCCACUUUUGGAGCUGUUGGUCGAACGGGUAUUAUGAGCAUAGCUGAAAGCUUGGAUAAAAUAGGCCCUUUUUGUAGAAACUCUGUGGAUUGUGUGAUUAUUCUGGAUGCCAUUCGGGGAAAGGACCCAGAUGAUGUUUCAUCUAGAGACAUAUCCUUUAGAGAUCCAUUCUCAGUUGAUAUCACAAAGCUCACUGUUGGAUAUCUUGAGGAUGCUGAGAUGGAAGUCGUUCACGUACUCCAAUCAAAAGGAGUGAAUAUGGUCCCGUUUAACCUGAGUUACACUGUUGAUUCCGUCCAAGGUGUCCUCAAUUUCACAAUGGAUGUUGAGAUGCUGGCUCACUUUGACAAAUGGCAGCGCUCAAAUCUGGAUGAUGAAUAUGAAGCCCAAGAUCAAUGGCCUACUGAACUUCGCCGAGCACGUGCCAUAUCUGCAGUUGACUAUUUUCAGGCACAAAGAGCUAGAGGUAUAUUGAUUCAGCAAGUAAGAGAAAAUUUCAGCGUUGAUGCAUUUAUUGGAAAUGCAACUGACUGGGAGAAAGUUUGUGUUGGCAAUCUUGUGGGUAUUCCAGUAGUAAUUGUUCCAACAGGAUUCAAAAAGAUAUCUGAUGCACCAUCAAAUGAUAUUCGCCGAAGAACAACAAUAACUACAGGCAUAUAUGCUCCUCCGGACCGUGAUCAUAUCGCCUUAGCUUUAGCAAUUGCUUAUCAAUCAGUUACCAAUCAUCAUAAGCAGCGGCCACCAAUUGAUGACCUUGGUCCAAAUGAUCCUAUUCCAGAAUCACCAAAAUCCCUGUAGUGGUAUUGAAUGUUGUUCAUGCUCACAAGUGCUUGAUAUGAACCUCCAUGCGCUUGAGCCUGGUGUGAUUCAGACCACCGUUUGUAGCUGCUAAAACUAUGGAAGUAUGAAUCUCAGCUUUCUGUUCGGGCCAUGAGAAAACUAAAAUUCUGUUUACUUCUGUCACUGUUUUAUAGUUCUAAUUCUGUGAAAUUUCUUAUUACUUUUGAUCUGUAAAUGAUUUAACUUUGU
rnacentral:misc_RNA from 1 species